rnacentral:tRNA from 1 species
GGGGAGUUAAUCCUAAUUGGUAAGGAAUUAGUCUUGAAAACUAAUAGUAGCGGUUGAUAGCCGUGUUUCGGUUCGAGUCCGAAACUCUCCG